CCCCAAACAAACCCUACCUCUCCGCUGUUACAAUCCUUGUGAGCUUCCUAACUUUUCCUCUCGAUCUUUCGCACACACAUAAAAAGGGAAUAGGCCUAGAGUUAGAUCUCAUGCCUGUGAUCUUCUUCUUUUUCUGGGUUCAAUCUUGAUCGAUCUGUUCUCUCUCUCUUAAUCCUAAGCAUUUCUUGGUUCUGAUCAUUUUCCUUCAUCUAAUACCAUAUUUUAUCUACUAAUCUUGUGUUUUUCUUUUUAAAAAGUGAAAUACCAGACUGGGUUUUUCCUCCUGAGUAUAUCUGUGGGAAUCUAUGGGUUCCAUACUUGGUCUUUCUUUUGUCGGGAUCGAUCCUAUCUUACAAACCUGAUGACCUGCAAUAUCAAAAUCUGUGAUUUCUGAACAGAAUAUAUAUUUUUAUUUUUCUCAAAUUAUUAUUCUCUCUGCGACAAUUUUUUAGAGAAUAAAAUGGGGUACCCUAAAAAAACAGGGCGUCUUUUUUUGUUUUGUUUUGUGUAGUUCAACCUGUUGGAUUCUUCUUGGGGUGCCCCUCUCGCGUAAUCACUUAACGUUUUAGCCACUGGUAGUAGGCCACGUAAGCUGAUUGCUCGUGGACAUGGUGCUAUUUAAUUUCUGUACAUGAACCUGAAGUUCCUACUCUACAUUUCUUUCAAUUUUCUCAUCUUUCUUAUUUCUCUCGAAAUAUACUGAUCGGUCUCACAUAGAUCAAGUACUUUCAUGGUGCUAAAGACGACAGUCGUUGUUUGCGGCUGUAGCAUCAUCAAGAUUCACACAUGCAAUUGAUGCAACUCAAAACUCCCUCUUUCGUCCAAAGUUGUUUGAAAGUACUGAGAAUCUUGAUGAUGCUGCAUCGGCAAUAAACCACUAUACAGAAGAGGGUUAGAUGAUUUAGACAAAAAGAGAUCCGUGAUUGUUCUUGUGUGAGAAACAUUUCUUUGGAUUACAAGAGUAUGUUUAUCUGAUCAGUUUAAUCCAGAAAAGGAGGUUUUCAUCGAUGAUGCUCCAAAUGAAGGCUACAAAGCAUGCAUUAAAACGGUCCGUUUCUUCAAAUCAUUUAUCUAGCUCUUCAUCUAUUUUGAGUGGUGACUUUAAUUUCCAGUCAGAUCCAUCCAUUGACCUGCAGAUCUUUGACUUUCCAUCAUGAUAUAUUGAUAUCUUUGAUUUUGUUUUAAGAUGUAAUUGGUGUUUCUGAGGCUUGUAGCUCCAACCGGGCAUUGGGUAUUUACUCCCACAUUUAAACUCACAGAUUGAUUCUCUUCCCACUUCGACCUUCUUUCUUAUUACCAAGAAUGUGUUUGGUUUAAACUUCCAUAAGAUUUGCUUAUCAGAAGCUGAGAAAAACA